GACGAACCGUGCGAACGUUGUUCGGAAUCACUGGGCUUAAAGGGCGCGUAGGCGGACGACCAAGUCGGGGGUGAAAUCUUUCGGCUCAACCGGAAAAUAGCCUUCGAUACUGGCCGUCUAGAGGGAGGUAGGGGCGUGUGGAACUUCCGGUGGAGCGGUGAAAUGCGCAGAUAUCGGGAGGAACACCGGUGGCGAAGGCGGUUCUCUGGGCCUUACCUGACGCUGAGGAGCGAAAGCGUGGGGAGCGAACAGG
rnacentral:rRNA from 1 species